CCGCAAUGGACGAAAGUCUGACGGAGCAACGCCGCGUGAGUGAUGAAGGCUUUCGGGUCGUAAAACUCUGUUGUUAGGGAAGAACAAGUGCUAGUUGAAUAAGCUGGCACCUUGACGGUACCUAACCAGAAAGCCACGGCUAACUACGUGCCAGCAGCCGCGGUAAUACGUAGGUGGCAAGCGUUAUCCGGAAUUAUUGGGCGUAAAGCGCGCGCAGGUGGUUUCUUAAGUCUGAUGUGAAAGCCCACGGCUCAACCGUGGAGGGUCAUUGGAAACUGGGAGACUUGAGUGCAGAAGAGGAAAGUGGAAUUCCAUGUGUAGCGGUGAAAUGCGUAGAGAUAUGGAGGAACACCAGUGGCGAAGGCGAC
rnacentral:rRNA from 1 species